rnacentral:rRNA from 1 species
GACGAACGCUGGCGGCGUGCUUAACACAUGCAAGUCGAACGGAAAGGCCCUGCUUUUGUGGGGUGCUCGAGUGGCGAACGGGUGAGUAACACGUGAGUAACCUGCCCUUGACUUUGGGAUAACUUCAGGAAACUGGGGCUAAUACCGGAUAGGAGCUCCUGCUGCAUGGUGGGGGUUGGAAAGGUUCGGCGGUUGGGGAUGGACUAGCGGCUUAUCAGCUUGUUGGUGGGGUAGUGGCUUACCAAGGCUUUGACGGGUAGCCGGCCUGAGAGGGUGACCGGCCACAUUGGGACUGAGAUACGGCCCAGACUCGUACGGGAGGCAGCAGUGGGGAAUAUUGCACAAUGGGCGGAAGCCUGAUGCAGCAACGCCGCGUGCGGGAUGACGGCCUUCGGGUUGUAAACCGAUUUCGCCUGUGACGAAGCGUGAGUGACGGUAAUGGGUAAAGAAGCACCGGCUAACUACGUG